AUUGAACGCUGGCGGCAGGCCUAACACAUGCAAGUCGAACGAGUGGCGGACGGGUGAGUAAUGUCUGGGAAACUGCCUGAUGGAGGGGGAUAACUACUGGAAACGGUAGCUAAUACCGCAUACCAUCGGAUGUGCCCAGAUGGGAUUAGCUAGUAGGUGGGGUAAAGGCUCACCUAGGCGACGAUCCCUAGCUGGUCUGAGAGGAUGACAAGACACACUGGAACGGAUACAAGGUCCAGACUCCGAAGGGAGGCAGCAGUGGGGAAUAUUGCACAAUGGGCGCAAGCCUGAUGCAGCCAUGCCGGGUGUAUGAAGAAGGCCGUAGGGUUGUAAAGUAAUUGCAGCGGGGAGGCGUUACCCGCAGAAGAAGCACCGGCGAACUCCGUGCCAGCAGCCGAGGUGAUUC
rnacentral:rRNA from 1 species